rnacentral:rRNA from 1 species
AGUGAACGCUGGCGGUAGGCCUAACACAUGCAAGUCGAACGGCAGCACAGUAAGAGCUUGCUCUUACGGGUGGCGAGUGGCGGACGGGUGAGGAAUACAUCGGAAUCUACUUUUUCGUGGGGGAUAACGUAGGGAAACUUACGCUAAUACCGCAUACGACCUACGGGUGAAAGCAGGGGAUCUUCGGACCUUGCGCGACUGAAUGAGCCGAUGUCGGAUUAGCUAGUUGGCGGGGUAAAGGCCCACCAAGGCGACGAUCCGUAGCUGGUCUGAGAGGAUGAUCAGCCACACUGGAACUGAGACACGGUCCAGACUCCUACGGGAGGCAGCAGUGGGGAAUAUUGGACAAUGGGCGCAAGCCUGAUCCAGCCAUACCGCGUGGGUGAAGAAGGCCUUCGGGUUGUAAAGCCCUUUUGUUGGGAAAGAAAAGCAGCAGGUUAAUACCCCGCUGUUCUGACAGUACCCAAAGAAUAAGCACCGGCUAACUUCGUG